rnacentral:rRNA from 1 species
UACAGAGGUCUCAAGCGUUUGUUUCGGGAUUCAUUGGGCGUAAAGGGUGCGUAGGCGGCGUGGAAGUCGGGUGUGAAAUCUCGGAGCUUAACUCCGAAACUGCAUUCGAUACUGCCGGUGCUUGAGGACUGGAGAGGAGACUGGAAUUUACGGUGUAGCGGUGAAAUGCGUAGAUAUCGUAAGGAAGACCAGUGGCGAAGGCG